GACGGACCGUACGAACGUUAUUCGGAAUUACUGGGCUUAAAGGGUGCGUAGGCGGCUCAGUAAGUUGAAUGUGAAAGCCCUCGGCUUAACCGAGGAAUUGCAUCCAAAACUACUGGGCUUGAGUGAGACAGAGGUGAGCGGAACUCACGGUGGAGCGGUGAAAUGCGUUGAUAUCGUGAGGAACACCGGUGGCGAAAGCGGCUCACUGGGUCUUUGCUGACGCUGAGGCGCGAAAGCGUGGGGAGCAAACAGG
rnacentral:rRNA from 1 species